GCCUGGGUGGCUCAGUCGGUUAAGCAUCUGACUUCAGUUCAUGAUCUCAUAAUUCGUGGGUUCUAGCCCCACAUCAGGCU
rnacentral:tRNA from 1 species